rnacentral:rRNA from 1 species
CCACGGGAGGCUCCAGUGAGGAAUAUUGCACAAUGGGGGAAACCCUGAUGCAGCAACGCCGCGUGGAGGAUGACGCAUUUCGAUGUGUAAACUCCUUUUAUCAGAGAAGAAAAUGACGGUAUCUGAUGAAUAAGCUCCGGCUAACUCCGUGCCAGCAGCCGCGGUAAUACGGAGGGAGCAAGCGUUAUUCGGAAUCACUGGGCGUAAAGGACGCGUAGGCGGGUUUUUAAGUCAGGUGUGAAAUCCUAUGGCUCAACCAUAGAACUGCACUUGAAACUGGGGACCUAGAGUAUGGAAGGGGCAGGUGGAAUUAGUGGUGUAGGGGUAAAAUCCGUAGAUAUCGCUAGGAAUACCGAAAGCGAAGGCGACCUGCUGGGACAUUACUGACGCUGAGGCGUGAAAGCGUGGGGAGCAAACAGGAUUAGAUACCCGUGUAGUC